UACGAAGGGGGCUAGCGUUGCUCGGAAUCACUGGGCGUAAAGGGUGCGUAGGCGGGUCUUUUAAGUCAGGGGUGAAAUCCUGGAGCUCAACUCCAGAACUGCCUUUGAUACUGAAGAUCUUGAGUUCGGGAGAGGUGAGUGGAACUGCGAGUGUAGAGGUGAAAUUCGUAGAUAUUCGCAAGAACACCAGUGGCGAAGGCGGCUCACUGGCCCGAUACUGACGCUGAUGCGCGAAAGCCAGGGGAGCGAACGGG
rnacentral:rRNA from 1 species